rnacentral:rRNA from 1 species
GAUGAACGCUGGCGGCGUGCCUAAUACAUGCAAGUCGAGCGAACAGACGAGGAGCUUGCUCCUCUGACGUUAGCGGCGGACGGGUGAGUAACACGUGGAUAACCUACCUAUAAGACUGGGAUAACUUCGGGAAACCGGAGCUAAUACCGGAUAAUAUAUUGAACCGCAUGGUUCAAUAGUGAAAGACGGUUUUGCUGUCACUUAUAGAUGGAUCCGCGCCGCAUUAGCUGGUUGGUAAGGUAACGGCUUACCAAGGCGACGAUGGGUAGCCGACCUGAGAGGGUGUUCGGCGACCCUGGAGCUGGGCCGCGGUCCAGGCUCCUACGGGAGGCCCCAGUCGGGAACGUUCCGCAGUGGGCGAAAACCUGACGGAGCGGGGCCGCGUGAGUGAUGACGGUCUUCGGUUCGUAAAGCUCUCUUAUUAGUGGAGAACAAAUUUGUAAUUAGCUGUGCACGUCUUGACGGUACUUAGUAAGAAAGCCCCGGCUAACUACGUG